rnacentral:lncRNA from 1 species
AAGAAACUCUAAUCAAGAUUUACACUACUAGAUCUAAGCUGCUCAACUAUAUGCUCAAAAUCAUGAGGCUGGUGAGACAUGGACUUAUUAUCUACCAACUUAAAUUUAAUUAGAUCUGAUACUUGGUAUCUCUUCUGGGUUGGAUCAACCUGUCCAUACUUGUUUUCUAAGGAUGUCUAAAGUUUCCUAACUGUUUUAGCACUACAGUAUAUGUCAUAUAAUUUGUCAAAUAAGGUACUAAGAAUUCGGUUUAAAUAAUGGUAGUUAAUCAUGUUAGGGUCAACAGGAGAUACGAUUCUAGCUGUAGAUGUAGUUGCAGUUUCAGUAGAGGGAGGAGUGGAUCCGGCCUGGGCUUGGCUUCUAGUAACCGGUCUAUUGACCGCAUCAGUCUGGGUUGCACCUUUAAGUGCAGAUCCAAAGCCAUUCACGACAAAAUCCGAGAUAGCAGAAACUAGUCCAAGUGUGGUGAGCCAGAAUCUCAUUUGGUUCUGCCAUCUCUUAAAAUUAGGACAAUCAAAAGUAAAAGGUUUUGUCGAAUCCUCUAUAAUAAAAAGUUUGUUGACAAAUAAUCCUACUGUUAUGUUAUAAAAUAGUUUUAAAUUUUAGAAGAAUAACAGUAAGAUAUUCUACGUUUUAUUCAGAGAGAUUACGAAAUAUAUAUAUUGAUUUGUAGAAAAAAAAUAUUUUAAUUACUGUAAUAAAAGAAACAGAAAGAUUAAAUCAAUUUCGCUUCUAAAUUGUUGGAAAAUCUUUUCUAUCUUUUAUUAAAAUAUUCUUUAAAAAUAAUUCAAAAGUUUAAUUUCAUUUGUAGAAAAAUUACGAGAAAGAAAUUAAAUAAUAAAUACUCUAAAGAAAAAGAUUAGAAAAGACCUGUGGAUCGAGGCAUGUACAGUACUGUCCUAAAAGCGAAAUUGCCCUUCCACGUGCAAGGCUUCCCAGCAAUUACUUUCAGCGAUACAACGACUACGUUCCACCCCGUCGGCACGCUUUCAAAGUGGCGUAAGACGAACCCAACAAGCUUCAUAUCCAGCAAAAUAUGAGAAAGCUCGGUGAAAAUCGGCAUAAAAGAUCAAUAGCGAGAAAGCAGAAAAAGACGAGGUAGAGGAUAGGGUUUUUGCUCUUAGGUAUACUUGGGUUCCGGUUAAACUCACGCAACCUCCUCCAAUAUAUAUAACCAAGGUAAGAAUCUUGCUUCAACACAUCAGUUUCGUGUGAAAUAAGAUAAGCCUAAUAUUAUACGGAUACAAAUACGGCUUAGGAUUAGGAUAAAAAUAAAAUCGAAAAAAUAAAAAUAAAAUAAAUCGGGUGUAUGAACCGAGAGCGCCAUCGCCCGCCCAGCCCGACUCGUGCUUGUGUUUAAACGAGAGCAUAACUCUCAUUUUCUCUCAAGCACUAAUUUGAGAAUAGAGAAAUAUAUAAAUACCAACAACACCCUUUUAGUUUUCAAUAUGGGGCUAAACAUCACAUAUUGAAACUUCAGUUGGGUUCGCAGGUAAGGCUCAUUAAGUAUUGGGCUAUCCACAAGAGGCUUAAUAAGUUUUAAAUCACCAAAAAUCCAAUAAAAUCUAACAGCAACUGUCUUUUCAUUCAGGACCUCACGAAAUACCUCAUCAGAUUAAGAUGUUGGUCCUGUCAAAUUUUUAGAUCCCAAAUUUCACCAUAAUCUGAAUCAACAAGGUGAUAAAAAAGCAAGGAAACCAAUUUGUUGAAGUAAAUUGAUAAAAAAAAAAAUGGAUCAAAAAAUUUAAAAUAGAAAAAAAAAAUCAAAAUU